AACGAACGCUGGCGGCAUGCCUAACACAUGCAAGUCGAACGAGACCUUCGGGUCUAGUGGCGCACGGGUGCGUAACGCGUGGGAACCUGCCCUUAGGUUCGGAAUAACUCCCCGAAAGGGGUGCUAAUACCGGAUAAUGUCUUCGGACCAAAGAUUUAUCGCCUUUGGAUGGGCCCGCGUUGGAUUAGCUAGUUGGUAGGGUAAAAGCCUACCAAGGCGACGAUCCAUAGCUGGUCUGAGAGGAUGAUCAGCCACACUGGGACUGAGACACGGCCCAGACUACUACGGGAGGCAGCAGUGGGGAAUAUUGGACAAUGGGCGAAAGCCUGAUCCAGCCAUGGCGCGUGAGUGAUGAAGGCCUUAGGGUUGUUAAGCUCUUUUACCCGGGAUGAUAAUGACAGUACCGGGAGAAUAAGCUCCGGCUAACUCCGUG
rnacentral:rRNA from 1 species